rnacentral:lncRNA from 1 species
AUGAAGUUGGGCUGCAAUUGAUAGGCUACCCACAAUGAAACGGGUUACUCACACUACCAUAAUCAUCUGCAGGAAAUAAGCGAAGAAAGCAAUCAGAGAAGGACGAUAGAUGUUACAAAGCUAACUCCACUUGAAAAGCAUGUCUUCAUUGAUAAGCUCAUAAACAAUGUCCAGGAAGAUAAUGCCCGAUUGUUGCUUAGGAUGAAGCAACGCAUGGACAAGUAAGUUUUUAUUUUCUUCAAAUUUGGAUUAGUUACCAAUGGAUUCAAGAUUCCAUAUGAUAUAUAUACCAAUUACCAUGAGCUGUAAAUCUCAAACCCAAAGCCAAAGGUCAGUGAGAUAUUUCUUAUGAAAGCCAUAAAAUAAAAUAAAUAUAAACAUAUGCUAGUCAGUCAGAUAAUCAACUCAAAUAGAUUUUAUUUAUCAAUGGAACAGAAAUCCUAUAUACUAUAGUAUAUUGACAGUUCCUCUAUUAUAUAUUCAGAUAAUCAACUCAAAUAGAUUCUAUUUAUCAAUGGAACAGAAAUCCUAUAUACUAUAGUAUAUUGGCCAGUUCCUCUAUUAUAUAUUUUCGUUCUUCUGGUUCACAUUCAUUAUUCAAUAAACAUACAUUUUAAAUAUCAUACUCUUGACUUGAAGUCAUUGAAAUUAAAUAUACAGAAAAAGAAACAAAUUUAGGUGUAUUUAGCAUUUUUAGUGUGUAUUAUGUAUGCAAUAUAUAUUCACGGACGACAAUAAAGAAACACAGUAAUUAAUAAUUAAUUAUGUAAUCCUUACCACAUAAGACAAACACGAAUCUGAGUACACCAAUUGUAGGCUAACUAAUUUUUUUCAAUUAAAAAAAAACAUUAAUUAUGUAAUCCUUACCAGAUAAGACAAACACGAAUUUGAGUAUGCCAAUUGCCAACCUCAGGCCGCUCAUAACUUAAAUCCCUAAAUCGUUCACGCCAAUACGAGCUAGUUAUUUCAUGAACUGAUUUGACAAUCUUACGAUGCAUGACUAUCACAAGCAUGAAGGAAUUCAUAACCCUAAGAAUGUAUCCACAUUUUUAAAUCCAGAACUUUUUGGGAGUACCUUCUUUUAUCUGUAGUAGGCUUUAAUAGGAUUCACUUCCUUAGAAUUGAAUGAUGGACCCACUCAAUAAACAGUCAACAAUCUUCCAUCCAAAAUGAGAGUCCUCUUUUAAAACUAGAAAAGUUUUUAAGAAAUUUUUUUAGUUAAAUAAUUAAUGGCCAAGAUAACAACUUGCUUCAAUAUCAUGAGGUUUUGUUUCGUGAUCACAAAACUUAUAAUUGUCUGAUUCAUGAACAAAACAGAACAAAAAAAAACAGAGAGAGAGAGAGAGGAAAGAAACGACAACUAAAAAAAAAAAGUACAAAACACAUAAAAGAUGGUAGAUGGUGAAUCAAUUUUGUUUCCUAUCCAUUUCCAACAACGGAGAAGGGCUUUUGCUGGUGAAUAGAGAUACAAAUGUUAGUAAGUUUUCAGUCUAACCUGUAUACUGUUGUAGGGUUGGUGUGAAAUUGCCUGCAGUGGAGGUAAGAUUCAAGAACUUGAAUGUUGAAGCACAAUGUGAAGUUGUCCAUGGCAAGCCUCUUCCCACAUUAUGGAACACUUUCAAAAGAAUAUUUUCCCUAAGUGGACUACUUAACAAUUAUCAUCAAACAUAUUAAUCCCUAAAUCAUGAACAUUGACUUAGUUUACCUGAACUUCCCUCUGUUGAUGUUCUCACUCCAUAUAUAUUUGUGGACAGAUUGUAAAAAUGCCUUGUUGCAAGUCGCAAGAAGCGACGCUAAGCAUCAUAAAAGGAGUCAGCGGCACCAUCAGACCUUCAAGGUGGGAAAAUGAAUCACAUCUAUAUGUAGUAUUCACAUUUCUAACAAAGAAAAAAACUAGAAGUAGGAACCAACCCUAGAACCAGUGGGCUUGGUCGCUCCAUUUCCAUAAUGUGUUCGGUUCGGAUCUGGUUCC